CCUGCCCUUCAGAGGGGGAUAACAACGGGAAACCGUUGCUAAUACCGCGUACGAUUCACAGGCGGCAUCGCUUGUGAAUGAAAGGUGGCCUCUAUAUAUAAGCUAUCGCUGAAGGAGGGGAUUGCGUCUGAUUAGCUAGUUGGAGGGGUAACGGCCCACCAAGGCAAUGAUCAGUAGCCGGUCUGAGAGGAUGAACGGCCACAUUGGGACUGAGACACGGCCCAA
rnacentral:rRNA from 1 species